rnacentral:rRNA from 1 species
GACGAACGCUGGCGGCGUGCUUAACACAUGCAAGUCGAACGGUGAACCACCUUCGGGUGGGGAUCAGUGGCGAACGGGUGAGUAACACGUGGGUAACCUGCCCUCCACUCUGGGAUAACUCCGGGAAACCGGGGCUAAUACCGGAUACGACCUGAGGCGGCAUCGCCUCGGGUGGAAAGUUUUUCGGUGGAGGAUGGACCCGCGGCCUAUCAGCUUGUUGGUGGGGUAAUGGCCUACCAAGGCGAUGACGGGUAGCCGGCCUGAGAGGGCGACCGGCCACACUGGGACUGAGACACGGCCCAGACUCCUACGGGAGGCAGCAGUGGGGAAUAUUGCACAAUGGGCGAAAGCCUGAUGCAGCGACGCCGCGUGAGGGAUGACGGCCUUCGGGUUGUAAACCUCUUUCAGCAGGGACGAAGCGCAAGUGACUG